rnacentral:rRNA from 1 species
UGGGGAAUAUUGGACAAUGGGCGAAAGCCUGAUCCAGCCAUUCCGCGUGUGUGAAGAAGGUCUUCGGAUUGUAAAGCACUUUAAGUUGGGAGGAAGGGCAUUAACCUAAUACGUUAGUGUUUUGACGUUACCGACAGAAUAAGCACCGGCUAACUCUGUGCCAGCAGCCGCGGUAAUACAGAGGGUGCAAGCGUUAAUCGGAAUUACUGGGCGUAAAGCGCGCGUAGGUGGUUUGUUAAGUUGGAUGUGAAAGCCCCGGGCUCAACCUGGGAACUGCAUCCAAAACUGGCAAGCUAGAGUACGGUAGAGGGUGGUGGAAUUUCCUGUGUAGCGGUGAAAUGCGUAGAUAUAGUAAGGAACACCAGUGGCGAAGGCGACCACCUGGACUGAUACUGACACUGAGGUGCGAAAGCGUGGGGAGCAAACA